UUGCUUUAGCAGCACAUAUAAUACAGUUGGGCCAUUACAGAGAUGAAAGCAUGGUUUCUGUGUAAGGAGGACAUGACAAAUCAUGAAGCAUCCUAUUUGUAG